GCCUUUGCCUGUUGUUACUGAUAUUGGGUAUUUUCUCUUGCAAACUGCAUCUUCAGGCAGUUGUUCCUUUGCCCAGCCUUCUAAGAAAGCCCCAAUCUAUGGCCCUACUGGUCAGUCAACAGUGGUGUUCCUUCAGAAAUUCACUUGCUCUUGGUAAAGUUCAAAAUGCCCCCAGAUGGCACAUGUUUAGUAGAGGAUCAGAGGGCAAUGAAGUUAAAACCUCUGCUGGCUGAUGCGCCAAUCUGUAUUAGCUCUGUGGGACAUCAGCAGUUCCAUUUCCCAGCAAUGGGCUUCUUUCCUAUUUUAGUUCCAGGGCACAGAUUCUAUGUUGACUUUGUAUCCCUGGAUUGGGCACUUCAAACUCAGAGGGGAUGAUACGGUUUGGGCAGGGUCCUCAGUGUCCAAGAGAAAACACGAUGCCUGCCUCAUUUAGUGCACACAUGUCCCGCUCUGGAUGCAAGUCAAGGUUCUGACAUGGGAGAGAUACGAGCUUGCUGAAGCUACCUCAUCUUCUGCAGAGGCUGGGAGAUGUCUGUGUCUGAACCAGCAGACUCAGAAGAACAAACCUCAGCUGGAUCCUUCACCCUCUGCUGAAAGCAUUGCGGGAUUCAAUUUCCGAGAUGGCUGACCCCAGUUUCUCAACCUUGAGGCAAGCACCCAAGACAGAGGAGCACUUAACCGUGUGCAUACAUGUCACUGCUCAGUCAGAACAUACUCCUAGGGUCAUUUCUUUGGUAUCACUUUCCAGGAAAGAAAAAAGCCCUUCCUUUGCUUUCCCUUUUGGCAAAGAAGAUAUACGUGCAUGACAAAAUUGAAGUCAAUGAGCGUUAAGCACAUGCUUGAGUGCUUCCUUGAAUGGGGAGCUCAAUUUCUA